rnacentral:rRNA from 1 species
GACGAACGCUGGCGGCGUGCUUAACACAUGCAAGUCGAACGGAGUGGCGAACGGGUGAGUAACACGUGGGUGAUCUGCCGUGCACUUCGGGAUAAGCUUGGGAAACUGGGUCUAAUACCGGAUAGUGCAAGAUGAGCUCGCGGCCUAUCGGCUUGUUGGGGGGGUAAUGGCCUACCAAGGCGUCGACGGGUAGCCGGCCUGGGAGGGUGUACGGCGACAUUGCGACUGAGAUACGGCGCAGACUCCUACGGGAGGCAACAGUGGGGAGUAUUGCACAAUGGGCGGACGCGUGAUGCAGCGACGCUGCGUUGGGGAUGAAGGCCUUCGGGUGGUAAACUCCUUUGGACAGGAACGCGGUACCUGUAUAAGAAGCACCGGCUAACUACGUGCCAGCAGCCGCGGUAAUAC